AAAAUACACAUAUAGUUAAAUUAUUAGAUUAUUAUUUAUACUAUUAAUAUAUACUAAUACUAUAUUGUUCUACUGUAAUACCAAAUUGUAUUUAUCAUUAAAAUAAAUACUAUUGAAAAUAUUGUUACUACAUCUACAUCAUCACAUCAAUUUUAUCAAUACAAACAAAAGCGUACAUUUUUAUUUUAAAAAUAACAACAAAAUCCUAAAAUUAAAAAAGUAUACCACCAAAUAACCUAUAUAACCUAUACACAAUCUAACCUAUCAUGUCGCGUGUUGCGGUUCCGCUCAGUGAUUUUGCGCGCACGAUCACGUUGCCGUGUUAUACCAUGUAACGAUUUCGUAUGUAUACGAAAAACGGUUGCCCGUUAAAAAUACCCCAUAUCUCAAUGCCGAGAGGAAAUGAUUCCGAUUCCUUCUCUUCUCCCUUUCUCUUUUUACGAGUAACACAUAACAUUUCGCGAAAACGACAUCAUGAUCGCUUUGAAUAAGAACAGGAAAAAAACUCACGAAAAGCAAUAAACGUUCGUGGCAUGGUUUACGUCGGAACUCUCGAAAAUAUGCACUGGUCUCAAUGUACUUCUACGAACGAUAAUCCUUGUCCAAACAAAUCGGCUCGAUCCUUCGAAGGAAUCGUGUAUUUCGAAGCAGCGUUUGUUCGUUUGUUUCACACAGGCUUCACAAAAUUACCCGUAAACAAAUGGAGAAUGUUCCAACGCACGAGAGAGGGAUCGUUCUUGCUCGUGGCACGCGUCGCCGUUUUUUUCGGAGGGCGCUGAAAACGGCGCGUGACGAAGCCCACCUGGCGGCGAAAUGUAACGAGAUUCUUUUGGAUUCGGAGGGUCUUUGUACGAUGGAAGCAAAAUAUGUCGUGUUGUGUAUUGAUUCUAGAAGAGGUUAGAAUCAUUCGAGCUAAUUUGUGGUUUACGUUCCGAAUGUUUGUGAAAUGUAACGUUCUACACGUAAUGGAAGGUAUUCACAAUAAUGAAGUUGUUCUAUUAUUCCAAAACAAUCAUAAAUUCUAAUAUAAUUUUAAAAAGGCUUUAUAAUGUGUUUAUUUUGGAAUAAAAACAAGAUUAUGGAAAGAAGAUUUUUAUUGAAGGAGAUUAUUGAAGAUUCUUUAUCACAUAAGAAGUUACAAUUACAUAUCUCGCUAAUAGCCAUCAGGAUGAUUUCCAGCGACGAUUGCCACAAAUAAUACCUUGCCGAUCGAUAGAUGGAAUCGACGUUGGAAAUUAAUUGGUGCCGUUAGUUGCCGAGUUAAUUGCCGCUCGUACUACAAGCGCGCCACUUUUUCUCGUCUUGGACCGAUCCUCGACAUAAUCUCGUCGAUCACCGGAACAGGAGCAAAGAAAUCGAGUGUCUAGACGUGAUGAUGAUCGCCGAUGGAAGUCGAGGUAAGGGAUCUUUUAACGAACUAUUAUUUGCAUACCUUCGAUUUCUUUUCUUUUCUUUUCUUUUCUUUUUUUUUUUAUUUAUUUUUUUUUUUUAUUUCUUUUAUUAUAUAUUAAGGUAAAUGCAGGUUCGAAGAAUGUUUGCUUCUUUUUAGAUAAGUUUUGUAAUGUUCCACAAUAUUCGAUAGAUAAUAGAAAUCAAAAGAAAUGUGAGCUGAUGUUUUGGUGAGAUGAGACAAGAAGAAACGAAGAGUUUGCAUUGUCGUUCGACGAGUUAAUUGAUCAUGAGGAACCAUCAUGGAGUAGGUCAUGAUUUGUGUUUUGCUCAUUAUACAGUAUAUACCUGGGUAAGGUAAUAUAAUAAUAAUUUUAUACUAUUGCAAUUUUUAUAAGUUUUUGUAUUUUAAAUUUUUAAUUUUAGAAAAAUGUAUAACUCUGUAAAAAGAUUUUAAUCUAAAUGAAGAUUCUUUCUUUUUUUUAAUUACAUUAUUUCAAAAAUUUUUCUAUUGCGCCACUGCUGAACAACGGUACCUUACAUAUUUUUUCAUCUAAUCAUUAUUAUAUGCCUCUUAAAUCAUAGAAAUCUUCCAUAUAAUGCAUAAAAUAAGCAUUUAUCUUUUACCUAACGAAAUUCACAUCAAAAAAUUUUCCUCAGGAAUGAUUUAUUAUUACAAAGCUUUUCUACGCGUCUCAUAAAAUUAUAUUUAUUCAUUAAUAUAUUCAAGUAAAAAUCUUCUUAUCUAAUCAAUUGCAACACCAAUUUAACUUAAGAAAUAUUAUUGCAAAUUUUUUUUAGAUUAAUAUUUCUGGUUAAGAUUAAUAAAUACUUAAGUAAUUCACUUAAUUCACUUACAAUAAUCUUAUAUUUUUAUAAAAAUUAGUUAAAACUUAUAAAAUGGAAUUAUAAUAACAAAAUUUCUUCACAUAUCAGAAUAUAGAAUGAUUAUUAUACAUUCUCAAAGAUACUUUUUUUCAAAAACUUUCAAAUAAUCCAUCUAAUUAAUUCUUUCUCCCCCAAAAAAAAAUUUCUUCAUGUAUCACAUAGAAUUCAUCAACCAAAAAAGAUAUAGAUUUUUCUAUGAUCAACAAUAUUCAAAUAAGUAACUUAAUCUAACUCAACAUCUACAAAAAUGGAAUUCUGGUGUUGCAAAUAUUUUCUUUAUAAAUCCAUUUCCUAAGAAAAAAAACAAUAUAAAUUUCUUCUCAACUAGAGUAACGUGUAAACAUAGAAAUGAUACCGCAAUAUAUAUACCUUGGCACAAUGAAACGAUCUGCCGAUCUGAGCACACUCCUCUCCUCGUCGAGAUCGGCAUCGAGCGAAGAGUGCUCCUUAACUGUACUUGACUUUCGAGACGAAGGCCAGAAAGAAUGAAAGUAAGGGGGGGAAGGGGGAGAAGAGGGUUCACAAACGGGGGAUAGAAACGUCCAUUAUUCUAUUCCGGCGAAGUGAGGCCGGCAAUCUGGCCUUAUAAAAUAAACCACUCUAGCGCUUGCGGUCGGUGCGAUCUGUCAAAUAAAUCGUGCCUCGUUUCUUACCAGCUUACUUACCCGGCCGAGUUCCCUUUAUCUAUCCUUUUCUUCGCUUCCCUCAGCAAAGCAUUACGGAUUUCGUUGCUCUUCCCACCAAAGUUUCUCGAGUUCGUGAAAUGAAACAUGGCCUCUGUGGAGACAGAGAACAGGAAGAUUCGUCUUCAUGUGAAGACGGGGAAUAGGAUUAGAAGGAGAUACCCGAUUCACAAUGCGUUCCACUGUGUCUUUCCAUCGAUCAUUUUUCCUUGGUUGAAGACGAGCGGCGCGAUUUAUACCAUGUUACAUUACUUAGGUCGUAUAAAUCGUCUUUUUGAUAGGGAGAGAGGGGGAGGGAGGCAGGUUGAAGAAGAUUUGAAGUGGUGUAGAAUACAGAGGAUGGUUGAUGGAUUUUUCUGUAUAUCUGGGAUUUUUGAAAAAAAAAAAAA